UGCCUCCAACUUAUAAUUAGCCAAAAAAAACUGAGUAUUUUAAAAAUUUAAAACCCUACGCUAUCAUUUCAUAUAGAAAAAGGUGAAGGUGUUGGUGGAGUUUUGGGUGGUGGAGGUGGAGGUUAUAUUGGUAAGUUGAGUCAGGGAUUGAGGACGAUUAGGUAUUAUGGUGAUGUAGUAUGGUAGCAGGGAAGGGCGAGGAACCAGAUGAGUCAAUUUGGGUGCUCGUCGGAGAAACUAGCGGCGGAAUUGCUAUGGCUUGCUCAGAAGAUGGUAGCUUGUGUUUGUGUUGAUGAAGCUGUUUAUAUGUAGGCUUUGGCUUCGCAUGUGGCUUGGCUUGCUCUUUCUGCUGAACCGCGGCUUCAGGGGUCUCUUGUUAAGGUUUCAGCAUUGGAGUCCAGUCAGGCAAGGCUGCUGGAAUGAAGGUAGAAGCUGUGCCAUCUUUCCAUUCUGAAUAUAGAUUGAUAUUCAAUAGCUGAUUCAAGCUUCGUUGACUCCUAGAGUUAGAUCCAGAACUGUGGGAUCUCCCACCAUUUGUUGAUUGGGUUGUCAUGUGUUGCUGAUUGAACCUGUUUCUUUCAGAGGUCUUUACAAAAAUGGCCUACUUCAUGAUGUUGCAGAUGUCGGUCCAUCUACUCUACCCGAUCAAAUGCUUGGAUUUUAUUUUGGUUAGGCAAAACCUGAGGCAUAUGAGUUUAUAAAGAUUGUUCUUGGAAUUGGUUAGGAAGAGGGCAACUACAAUUCUAAGAGAAAGACGGUACAACAAAAUGGAGACAUGCAUAACACCUAACAAUGGCAACAGUGAGAUUCUGCAGAGACUAUUUCUUCUACAGAAUGCAUUUACUGCUGCUUUGGAGUCACUACAACAUUUUUGUCUUUUGACCGCACUAAAUGUGAGCAGUGGUAAAACUUGCCCUGUGGCUUUACUGGAAAAUCUCAGGGAAUGACAUUGUUCACGCCUAUGCAAAGCUGCAGCUGAGUAAGACAUAUAUAACAAGCACCUGCAAUGGGUUCUAUAGAUUGGCUUAAGAAUGUAAUCAGUAUGAGAAAGGCAAAGGUUGGCUUAAAAAUUUCAGGUGUAUAUCAUCAAUUCAUUUAGUUCCAUAUCAAUUUCUUUGAAAGAGCAGUUAACUCAAAUAAUUUCACCGGUGAGAUCCCACCAAUUCUUGGCAAUCUGUCAAAACUCUACUGGCUUGAUCUAGCAGAUAAUGUUAACAGGAUCGAUUCCCAUUUCAACCUUCUGAAGAAAGCAGAACACUUGAUCAAUGUGGGGCAUCAAAUUUGAAUGGUGGGGCCACAAUUCAACUUGACCGAGAUUGAAGUGAAUAAUGAAUUUUUGAAAUAUUUUGAUAUACGUUUAUAUACAUUUGGUUUUGUGUGGAACUUGAUACAAUUUUUUUAUUAUGUUGCUUUCUUAUUAGUAUGUAAAUGACAUAUUUUUUUGAAAUCAAAUCCAUGCACUUCAAUUAUUUAUUAGG